rnacentral:lncRNA from 1 species
GGCGCUAGUUUCUUCGGAGUGUACCCUAGGAUUUUGGCUUAGGGUUCGGGAAGUGAGAACAUGAGCUACGAGUAUCAUGAGCCCACCAAACUUCAGGGAGAGCAUCAUCAAUCUCUCUAUCAUCUUUGCUGACAAUCCAGAGCAUCCGAGGAGUCGACAGACAUCGAUCGAAGGAGUUCGAUCAACAUCGGCCAUCAAAAAGGUGCAGUCACGAACUAGCAUUCGUGAGGAG